GGCAGCAGCUUUGCCUGCCAGGCUUGCCCUGCCCUGGAGCAGCCCCUUCAGAGGCCCGCAGCAAGGGCUGUAAGGCGGGGGCAGGCGCUGCAGGUCGGGCCCCCUCUUAGGUCAGAGACCCAGUCUGGGGUGCAGGCCAGCGCCCGGCCCAGGCACAGAGGCUGAGAGGAGGCCCGGAAGGAAUGCAGGUGCCAUUGUGAGCGACGCUGUCCACUGCCAGGUGCUCACAGCUGUGGGGAGGCUGAAUGGGGGAGGGAGAGGGGAGGGGGACUCUCCCCAUAUGAUUCCCAUCGAUACUAUGGAAUUUUAAAGAGAUGAGAGGUAUGAUAAGGGGAGGUGUCAGAUACGGCUUUCUACAGAAACCUGUGAUUAAUAUGGACUUUGAAAAAGAAGUAGGGCCAGUGUGAACUAGUGUAGACUGGGAAAAAUGAAGUAAAUUUCUACUGCGGUGGAGGUGACCUCAUACCUCCUGUUUCAUUUAAAUUCAGGUGCAGCCAGUUUGUGGCCCUGUUUCAAGGAGAAAGCUGAAGGAAAGGCGGAGAACCCACCAGGCCUCCCAGCUAAUCACCCAGGCCUGAAAUCAGACCCAUCUGCCACCCAGCUCCUCAGUGCUGGAGGCCGCAGAGGAGACUGGCGCGAGUCCCCUCAGAGCCAGCCGCAAAGCUCAGCAGAGUCACGGGCACGUCACAGGAACCUGCGCCAGGCCGUCCAGCAUCAGGGGCAGGGUUGGGGACGAAAUCCCUGAAGACCCCCAGAACAACUUCAGCUGAGAAGAAACCAGAAGCUUCUACUGUACCCAGCAGUCCUGCAGCGCGGAACCCGAGCCCCUGGCCUGCCUCGUCCCGAGCGCCUCUGUUUGCCGCCCAGGCGGGCUGCCCCCUCACCGCCUCUGAUCUCCUCCCUCCGUGGCAGGGAUCCGCACCUUCGCCGGGAGCAGACAAAACAUCACGCACUGGAGCGGCCGCGCUGCUGGAAUUCCGUAGGGAGUGGGAGAAGUCCUGGCUCCUCAUGAAGGUCGCCUCGUGGAGAUGAAUAGCGCCAGAAUUUUUCCUGGGAUGGGACAGGGUCAGUGCUGAGUGCCUCCUUUUGAGAAGUGAUGGACCAGGACGCCUGUACCUCCAGCGAGAAGAGCUGAUGGGAGGAGUUUGCUGAAUCGCUCAGAAGAGAUCCUCAGCUCGCUGUGGCUGGGGCCCAGGUCUGCGGGCUGUGUAAGGGUCUGCACAUUCAGCGUAAAAGGAGGCGGCGGACUAUAGGGAUCCCGGCCUGUCGGUUCUUGGGAAGCCGGAAGAGAGGAUCGUGCUCUGGCGACACGCUGGCUUGUAGGGACCAUGGGCCGACCCUGAGGACGGUGCGCACCAUCAACCCUCGUGUCCAUGAUCCGAUCCGCGGGCUCAGCACGCUUGGACUCGCGGGCUUUUCCGAAGCCGCGUGGGCUGGACGUGUAGACUCCUCCCGCCCUCAUCUCUGAACAGCCC
rnacentral:lncRNA from 1 species